CGGCGUGCUUAACACAUGCAAGUCGAAACGCGAAAGGGACUUCGGUCCUGAGUAAAGUGGCGCACGGGUGAGUAACGCGUAGAUAACCUGUCUUCAUGUCUGGAAUAAUACGCCGAAAGGGGUACUAAUACCGGAUAUUCUUGCUUUUCAUAAGUUAUGCAAGCAAAGGUGGCCUCUGCAUAUGCUACUGCAUGAAGAGGGGUCUGCGUACCAUUAGCUAGUAGGUGGGGUAAUGGCCUACCUAGGCGACGAUGGUUAGCGGGUCUGAGAGGAUGAUCCGCCACACUGGCACUGGAACACGGGCCAGACUCCUACGGGAGGCAGCAGUGAGGAAUAUUGCGCAAUGGGAGAAACCCUGACGCAGCGACGCCGCGUGAAGUGAGGAAGGCCUUUGGGUCGUAAAGCUCUGUCAAGAGGAAAGAAGUGUACAAUGGCUAAUACCUGUUGUAUUUGACGGUACCUCUAAAGGAAGCACCGGCUAACUCCGUGCCAGCCGCAGC
rnacentral:rRNA from 1 species